UGUAAGCGUAUACCAAAGUUGUUGCAGUUAAAACGCUCGUAGUCGGAAUUUGGCAGUUCCGGAUGUGUGCACGUCGUGUGCGCACUUCGCGGGGAUUGCUUUUGUGGUCUUGCGUAGGAUGAGGCACUUUUAUUAGUGAACGUCCUCACGCAACCACUUUUUACUGUGAGAAAAUCAGAGUGCUCAAAGCAGGCAUUUGCCGUGAAUGUAUUAGCAUGGAAUAAUAGAAUAGGACUUGGUUCUAUUUUGUUGGUUUGUUGGGACUGAGUAAUGAUUAAGAGGGACAGUUGGGGGCAUUUGUAUUUCGGUGCUAGAGGUGAAAUUCUUAGAUUACCGAUAGACAAACUGCUGCGAAAGCGUCUGCCAAGGAUGUUUUCAUUGA
rnacentral:rRNA from 1 species